rnacentral:lncRNA from 1 species
CCUGAAACUAGAUUCACAUAUCCUUUUACCAUAAAAUUUUAAGAAUUUUUGGUUUGGCAAAAUAGUACAGUUUAUUCUUUAAAGUUUCUCCUGUUUCACUGCUUGACAGUUCUGACCUCUCUUCACUAAAAAUUAAUUAUCUCAUUUUACAGAAUGAGGAUAUUGUUUCCGUUUGUUUCUAUUGAAAAUAUAUUCACUGAGUAUUCUAAACAUAUAAACUUUAUCCCAUAAUUAUUUUUUUACAAUUUUUUAAAAUUUUCCAAAGUCAGAAUAGGGGAUUUCGAAUUCAUUCUAACUCUGUCUAACUAAACUUCAAAUAUCUCAAAAUAUAUAGCUCUUUUGCUUGCUUUGUUUCUUUUAUGUGAAAAUAGACUCAUUCAGAUUCAAUUUCAUAUAUUAUUUAGCCUCUAAUUCAAU